UACGGAGGAUGCAAGCGUUAUCCGGAAUGAUUGGGCGUAAAGCGUCCGCAGGUGGCUGUGUAAGUCUGCUGUCAAAGAGCGAAGCUCAACUUCGUAAAAGGCAGUGGAAACUACACGGCUAGAGUGCGUUCGGGGCAGAGGGAAUUCCUGGUGUAGCGGUGAAAUGCGCAGAUAUCAGGAGGAACACCGGUGGCGAAGGCGGAUCUCUGGGCCUUGCCUGACGCUGGAGGCGACGAAAGCUAGGGGAGCGAACAGG
rnacentral:rRNA from 1 species